GAUGAACGCUGGCGGCGUGCCUAAUACAUGCAAGUCGAGCGAACGGACGAGAAGCUUGCUUCUCUGAUGUUAGCGGCGGACGGGUGAGUAACACGUGGAUAACCUACCUAUAAGACUGGGAUAACUUCGGGAAACCGGAGCUAAUACCGGAUAAUAUUUUGAACCGCAUGGUUCAAAAGUGAAAGACGGUCUUGCUGUCACUUAUAGAUGGAUCCGCGCUGCAUUAGCUAGUUGGUAAGGUAACGGCUUACCAAGGCAACGAUGCAUAGCCUACCUGAGAGGGUGAUCGGCCACACUGGAACUGAGACACGGUCCAGACUCCUACGGGAGGCAGCAGUAGGGAAUCUUCCGCAAUGGGCGAAAGCCUGACGGAGCAACGCCGCGUGAGUGAUGAAGGUCUUCGGAUCGUAAAACUCUGUUUUUAGGGAAGAACAUAUGUGUAAGUAACUGUGCACAUCUUGACGGUACCUAAUCAGAAAGCCACGGCUAACUACGUG
rnacentral:rRNA from 1 species